rnacentral:rRNA from 1 species
AACGAACGCUGGCGGCAUGGAUUAGGCAUGCAAGUCGAACGGGAGCAGCAAUGCUCCAGUGGCGCAAGGGUGAGGAACACGUGAACAACCUGCCUUCGAGUUGGGGAUAGCUUCUGGAAACGGGUGAUAAUACCGAAUAACAUCACCGGAUCGCAUGAUCUGGUGAUCAAAGCAGCAAUGCGCUUGAAGAGGGUUUUUGCGUCCCUUUUUGCUAGUUGGUGAGGUAACGGCCCAUCAAGGCGAUGAUGGGUAGCUGGUCUGAGAGGACGAUCAGCCACAUUGGGACUGAGAUACUGCCCAGACUCCUACGGGAGGCUGCAGUCGAGAAUUUUGGGCAAUGGACGAAAGUCUGACCCAGCAAUGCCGCGUGCGGGAUGAAGUCUUCGGAUUGUAAACCGCUGUCAAGAGGGACGAAACAUGACGGUACCUCUGGAGAGCACGGCUACUACGUGCCAGCAGCCGCGGUAUACGUAGUGCGGCGUUGUUCGGAUUUUUGGGCGUAAGGGUCGCAGGGGGUUGGAUAAGUUUGACGUGAAUCCAAAGCUCCACUCUGAAUUCCGUGAAACUGUCUGUCUGCAGAUUUCGCAAAAGAAAAUGAAUUCAUGUGUAGCGGUGGGUUGCUGUAUAUUUUGGUACAACAGACCGCAUCUGACCCGGCAGUGUACGAUACGUCACACUCUUGAGAUUCUUUCA